AACGAACGCUGGCGGCAUGCCUAACACAUGCAAGUCGAACGAAGUCUUCGGACUUAGUGGCGCACGGGUGCGUAACGCGUGGGAAUCUGCCCUUGGGUACGGAAUAACUCAGAGAAAUUUGAGCUAAUACCGUAUGAUGACGUAAGUCCAAAGAUUUAUCGCCCAGGGAUGAGCCCGCGUAGGAUUAGGUAGUUGGUGAGGUAAAGGCUCACCAAGCCGACGAUCCUUAGCUGGUCUGAGAGGAUGAUCAGCCACACUGGGACUGAGACACGGCCCAGACUCCUACGGGAGGCAGCAGUGGGGAAUAUUGGACAAUGGGCGAAAGCCUGAUCCAGCAAUGCCGCGUGAGUGAUGAAGGCCUUAGGGUUGUAAAGCUCUUUUACCCGGGAAGAUAAUGACUGUACCGGGAGAAUAAGCCCCGGCUAACUCCGUGCCAGCCGCCGCGGUAA
rnacentral:rRNA from 1 species